GGGAAGUUCAUCAGGAGACACGAAGGCAUUCAGAAGCGCCUACAGCAAACUUGGAGAAAUCCGGUCUAAACUUCGUUCCGGGUUGCUGCCGUCGCCCUCACAGCUACUGCUACCAAGGACUUGAGACACACCAUCAUCGACAGCAUCGGACUUCACAACUUUGUUUGGGUGAAUGAGUCACCGGAUAAAAUGAACAUCAAACAUGUGGUCUUGAAGUCCCCUUCGAAGGAAUAUGACAACAUUUUCCGUCAUGUAAUUGAUGGCGUCAGGGAUGAUGGAGUAUCCUGUGAGAGGACUAUUAUCUAUUGUCAAUCUAGAAAGACAUGCAUACAGUGACGUAUAUGCAACUGUAACAGGUCAAAAUGAACUGUUUAAUGGAAAUUCAUAUAUUUUCAUAACUCUUCAUUAUUUGUCUGUAAGUAAUAGCUGCCUUCACAGGAAGUGCACAGGAAGUAGUAGAAAGUAGAAUUGUUUAACAAUCUUCAUGCUUUUUAAGAAGUAUGAUUCACACUCUUUCCGGGUAAGAGUGAUGCUGAAUGGUCUUUGGGUCAAAACAUCACAUUCCAGAGCUAUGAGCUUGUAUGACGUAGAUAAUUAUGGUCAAGGCUUAGCAUCUGUGAAUGGAGAGUGAUAACUGCAUAAAAAGGAGAGAGGGUUUUGCUCCAAUUCACUCCUGCACUGCACUCCAUUCAUGGGGCAGGCAGAGAGGCUUCUUCAUUUUUGGGUUAGAAUUAUAGGUAAGAUAAUUAUCUUAUUUUGUCAAUUCUGAUAGUUUUGAAUAAUAGUUUAUAAAGUUGGUUCACAAUGUAUUUUCUAUUGUUUGGAAUAAGAGGUUAGAUUAUAUCAUUCAAAGUGCUCUCUUUGCUAGCAUAGCAUUUUAUCUGUCUUGUUUUAAAGGGUUUUUGUGAAUUUAAUUAUUUAUUAGUUAGGCAUCUGUCUUUGUUACUUCAGAUGAUUUUGAUGUCAUUUUUGUUAUAUUUUGUAUUAAUGACUUGUACUUGUAUUUCUAUUGUAGUAUGCAGUUAUAAACAUAAAAUGUGUUCAGUUCUAAUCUUGUAGUGAAACGAUUUAGUAAAAUGAUCUUUAGAGAUAAAGAUUUUGGUUAAAUUGAUUUUGGUUAUUGAAUUGUUAAUUCAAUGUUUCAGUUUUGUGUUUUUAGAGUUAAGGGUCACAAUGAUUGCUUACUAUGUGUAAUAAUUAUUUUCCUUUUAAAGGUAUUUCACAUGACAUUCAUGUAGCGGGUGAGGCUAUCACCAGAGGAAAUAUGGUCAUCUAGGCCAGAUUGCCAGGGUUUUAUCUUUUGUUCUUUUAUUGGGAAUUUUGUAUAUAACGAGUCAUCGAUUAUUAAACGAACCGAAACACAAGGAAUUGUGUCGUGUGUCAUCUUUCUGCAUCAGUUUCCUCGUGUUACAAGUGGCGUAGUCAGCAGGAUCGAUGUUCGUCGUUGGAUACAACCAAGUUCAAACCCUGACAAUCUGAGGAGCUCAUCCGUCUGUUUGGACAUCUUGAAUUUGUAAAUAUGAACGUAGCUUUAAGAUGUAUUUGUGUGUGUGCAUUGUGUGAAUGAUGUAGCCAAAAUGUAGUUUGUUUGAAAGUAAUGUGGGGCUACAAUGUAUUUGAUAGGGAUUAAUACUAGUGGGUAGGUAUUUUAUGAGAUACCCUGUAAGAGUUUUCAGAUCAAAUAGCUUUGGUCAAGGGAACACUGAGUACUGUUCAAGGUUCAUUUUGUGUUGUCAUGGUAAUGCUGUGUUUUGGAACAGUCCAAGCCCCCUUUCUUAUGUAAUUUUGGCUGGUUGGAUGGGAACCACACAUUAGGGUGUAGGAGGCCAGAGACACCAGUAUUUUAUAUGUUGAUAGGAGGGAGUACAGUAUGUGCAGAGUAAGCUCUGGGUUUGGCAAACAUGAUUAACUUGUGAAUAGUUGAGGCAUUUCUUUGUCUGAUACUUGAAGUCUACUUUUUUAGUUUAGAUUUGGGUCUUGAUUAAUAUUCGGUUUAAUUAAGUUAUGGCGUGAAUUAAUGUUAAUUGUUUGAUCCAGAAUGUGUAUUUGAUAGUUUUAGGGGCUACUUUUGAAAAAGUAGGGGAGCCCACGUGUUGAUGAAAGUGUUUUACUUUUAUGUUUCUGUGUGUUAUAGGUUAUUAUAUUGUAAUAUGCUGAUCUUUCUGAUUUGUAACUGGGAUUUGGCUAGGAGUACUGCUAGGUUUAGUCAGGAUAAAGUAUCAAUGUUUAUUUCGAGAACCUCAAUCUGAGACUGGGAUUUUUGCAGGUUUUAUCUUUUGUUCUUGUAUUUGGAAUUUUGUAAAUAACGAGUCAUCGAUUAUUAAACGAACCGAAACACAA